GCCGGGGGGGCCGGAGCGAGCGCCCCCCGAAUUGCCCCCGUCGCCCCGCAGCGGGGGGAAGCGGCCCCGGAAGGGGGAUGGGGGGGACGCCCCUCCCAGCGACGGCGAUCGCCUCUUUGCCCAAAAAUGCCGGGAGCUGCGGGGCUUCAUCCGGCCGCUGGCAGAGCUGCUGGAGGGGCUGAAGCGAGGGCGAUACGACAGAGGGCUGAGCAGCUUCCAGCAGAGCGUGGCCAUGGACCGGAUCCAGCGGAUCAUCGGGGUCCUGCAGAAACCCGAAAUGGGCGCCCGCUACCUGGGGACGCUGCUGCAGGUGGAGGGGAUGCUGAGGGUCUGGUUCCCCCACGUCGCCCCCAAACCCCCGCAGGAUCCGGCCCCCGCCGCCGCCCUCCUCCUCCUCCGCCGCCGCCCCCCCGCCGGCCCCCCCGGGGCGCCCCGCUGCCGUCGCCUGCCCGGGGACACCCCCUCCUCUAUCCCGGCGGGGGGGGCGCGG